rnacentral:rRNA from 1 species
AGCAGCCGCGGUAAUUCCAGCUCCAAUAGCGUAUAUUAAAGUUGCUGCAGUUAAAAAGCUCGUAGUUGAAUUUCGGGACUAAUAUGUCGGUCGUGCCUCGGUACGUACUGGUAUUUUUGGUUUCUCCCUUCUGACGAACCUUGAUGUCAUUAAUUUGGUGUCUUGGGAAAUCAGGACUGUUACUUUGAAAAAAUUUAGAGUGUUUAAAGCAGGCUCACGCUUGAAUACAUUAGCAUGGAAUAAUGAAAUAGGACGUUUGAUUCUAUUUUGUUGGUUUCUAGGAUCGACGUAAUGAUUAAUAGGGAUAGUUGGGGGCAUUAGUAUUCAAUUGUCAGAGGUGAAAUUCUUGGAUUUAUUGAAGACUAACUACUGCGAAAGCAUUUGCCAAGGAUGUUUUCAUUAAUCAAGAACGAAAGCUAGGGGAUCGAAGACGAUCAGAUACCGUCGUAGUCUUAACCAUAAACUAUGCCGACUAGGGAUCGGAUGAUGUUAAUUUUUUUAAUGACUCAUUCGGCGCCUU